AGGUCGCAGAGAAUGUUUGAGAUGCAUUGUCUUCCAUUUUAACGUCAUCUAAAAACAGAGACUGUGAUUUCUGAUAUUUACAAACUAUCUGAGUGGGAAAGAGGAGGAAGGAAUAACCAGAGACAACAACAACACACAGCAAGUAUCUCAGUGACUCUGAAAACACAUUCUUCACCUCGCGCCCGCCGUGUCCACUCGUGCCCAGUUCUCAGCUACUGGCAGAUAUGAUCAAUUUCGUCAUUGACUUUUCUACCUAAAACAAAUUAUGGUCUACCCACAAUGUUAUAGGAAGUAGAUGGUUUCCCUCAGAGGGAAGAACCUUUUCCGUUUUCCCAGGAGCUCACGCAGUUGUGUUAAUGACUACCUCACUGUUGGCAGGGACCCAAAGUGGUCAUAGAUAAGGGACUCAGAGUGGCUGUAUUUUACAUGUUAGAGAUUCUGAGCUUCGAGAACCUUCCUGCACAGUGAAUCAUGCUGGGAGUUGUCUCCAAACCCUUUGCUGACAUUCAGCAUUUAACUAAACAAAAAUCCACAUUUGCUUUAAAAGAAAGAUAUUGCAACAAAAUUUCCAGGCCUGAGUAUCCUCCUGUAAAAGAAUACAGUGAGCAUUGGACUGAACUUGUGAAAUUACUGCUUAGGGAAGUUAAAAAGCAAAGUAUUUUAUACCUUGGACAGUAAAUGCUCACCAAAGACUCUCGUGUUAUACAUCAGUUUGCCGAUUGGUGGCGCUGUUUGGAAACCUGGUGUAAACUCUAGGAGGCAGAGCCGCAGGGAAGGAAGUUGGGUCAACCUGAACAUACCUGUGAAGGCAUUGCAUGGGAGCCUGCCAUUCUCUUCUCUCUUCCCAUCCAGGGAACGGAGCUGCAGUGCCCUAAAGUUCUCUUCUGUGGAAUGCUGGACUCCAUAUCCCCAAAGCUACAUGACCAAACAGCCAGGUGCUAGGACCUACGAAUCUGUGGCCCAAACCAACCUUUUCUUUUGCCAUAAUUUCAUUUUCUCAAGUAUUUUGUUCCAGCUGAAUAGCCUAGCAGAGUUCAGAAUUCCUUCCCUACAUGCACUUAAAUUGAUGUGUCUGAAGCUCUCUGUCGAGUGGGCAAUUAAACGGCAGCUCUCUCUUCCCUGAGCAAAUAAUUGGAGGGUUCAGUGCGUUCCUAGUCAGACGACCAGUGGUACUCUUCAGGCAAAUAACAAAAAUUACUGCAGGUUUUCUAUGAAACCACAAAACAACCCUGAAUAGCUGAAGUGGCCUUGAGCCCAAAGAAUAAAGAGAGACAUUUCAUGC
rnacentral:lncRNA from 1 species